rfam:Glossina fuscipes fuscipes unplaced genomic scaffold Scaffold507, whole genome shotgun sequence.
CCUUCGAUAGCUCAGUUGGUAGAGCGGUGGACUGUAGUAUUAAAUUAGCAAACGUAUUAAACAGGAAUCCAUAGGUCGCUGGUUCAAAUCCGGCUCGAAGGA